AAGAAAGACAGCAAUUUUUUUCUAUCUAUUGAAGAGAUAGUCAUUUUUUUUUUUAUUUACUUAAAAUCUACUUUGGGAAGUGGGAGUAAUUUAGGUGGGUCAGCAGAAUUAUGAAAUAAAUAAUCCAAUAAUGAAGUUAAAAUCACUUACUUGUCUACACUAUUCCCAAAUGCAAAAUCUAAAAAAAAUAAUUUCUAAAUUAGUAUCUUUCAAAUGUUUACUUAGCAUUUUAAAACAAUUGAGCAGUGCUGUAGAGAAAAAGUCAAGAGCACAGGUCUCUGGUUUUUGAGCAAGAAUUUCAAUGAAUAAUUCAAUCCAUCAAAAACAAAUAAACCUUGAUACCAAACCCUACAUUGAAACUGUCUCUUAGAUAUAAUGUCUUUGGUUUGUCUUAGGUUUUGUGGCAGAUUUGUAAAUGCAAUAUACUUCUCAAAACUCUGAGGACAGAAUGCUUAAUCAAUUUAUUUAACAAUAGAAUCCAAGUGGGAAUUUUUUAUCAUUGAGAUACUGAGUCUCAAGUACAGAAACAGAUCUUUUUUUUUUUUUUUUUUUGAUAGGCACAUGCAUUUACAAAUGGAAUAAUAGACCAAAUGAGGAGAAAUAUUUAGGGCAGUUUAAACCAUUUGGAUUCUUGGCAUUAACUUCAAAGAAAUGGAAUAAACAAAUCCUAGAUCACAAGAAUCUCCAUCUUCCCUAGCCCUGGCGCUCAAAAGCUAGUCCUCAAAGCUUGGCCUUCUUCUGGUAUCUUGCAGAGACUGUCAUUGCGUUGUUUAUUCCUCUUCAGAAGACCUAGUGCCAGGCUAGAGAUGGAAUGUAGCAGCACCUGUUAGGCCACCAAAGCCCACAGUGCGAGCUCGUGCCAAUCCAUAAGCAGCAGGGAGCACGCAGCCUCUGCCUUAAGAGAGGAGCUCAUGGCAUCCUUCCCUUCACAAGUGCCAACUCAAGUCCCCCACAGAUCAGAAAGUUGAAGCAAAUUAAUGUCCAAAAUACCACUUUGACUGACUAGCAGAGACGGUGCUCAAACCCAGGGGAAUCUGACUUCAAAGCUCGGGCUCUUGCCUCUGCACUGGUUGUUCUCUAACUGUACUAUGCACAGAUCACGUGGAAGGCUAGUUAAAGCACAGCUUCCUGGGUCCCAACCUGGAGUAAUUUCUGACUUAGUAGCUCUCAUCUGGGGCAAGAAUUAGCAUUUGUAACCAAUAGUUGUUAAGUGCUGCUGCUGCAGCUGGUUUGGGGACCACACUUGGAGAACCACUGCUUUACACUAUACUCUUUUGCAUCCAGAACAUAUCCUCCAGGCAUUCCUUCUAUUCUAUGGGACAUAUAGGGAUAAAGCAACAGGUUAAAUGACACUUGGUGGAAACAAUCAUGCAAAUUACAUUGUUAUAACUGGCCUGGUCUCUUCGAAAAGUCAAAAGUUGGGGAAACAAUUUUGGAAUCCAUUCUAAAUUAAAAGAGAUUAAAGAGCCAUAAUAGCUCACUGUAAUGACGAAUCUUGACUGAAUUCUGGCUUGAAAAAGCAGCUAUGGAAGCCAUCUCAGGGCUAGGAAAAUUUGAAUAUGGAUUACAUAUUCAAUAAUACAAAUGUUACUUUUCUUAGAUGUGAUAAUGGCAUUGUGGCUCUAUAGGAUAAUGUCAUUUUAAAAUUUCCAGGCCAAAUUAGGAGUGAAAUGUCAUAAUGUCUGUGACUGAAGUAUUUAAAUGGUUCAACGAUACUUUUAUUUUUCCAGUUUACAUAAGGCAAAGUCUAAAUGGAGGUUGGUGAAUAUGGCAGAAUAUUACUAUUGAAUAUACAUGGGCAUAAACAGGUACUGUCUUGGCUGGUUUUUGCUUAAAAGGUGAUCUAGGAUUCCAUGAGGCAUCUACUUUUCCUCUGAAUGCUAUUGAUUGAAGAAUAUGAGCCUUUUUAUGGUUAAAAAUGAGAUUCCAUACCAAUUAUGGAGAAGAUUGGGGUGAAGGUGAGAAGGAAUGAAAACCCAUCACACCUCCUUAAGCUGACAAAGAAGGCAGGUG